rnacentral:snRNA from 1 species
AGAUGUGAGGGUGAUCUGGCUGUGACAUCUGUCACCCCAGUGAUGACAAGAGUUGAUUCGGCUGAUCUGGCUGGCUGGCUCUGGCUUCCACCCUCCCUGCUCCAUGUGCAUCUCUCCUGAAUGUGCAUGCAAGGUCAAAGAGGACAGCCUUCCCUGAACAGAGAAGGACUGGUCUUGGGUGGAGAGCAUAGGAGUAGCUGUGCUCCCCUGCUAGAACCUCCAAACAAGCUCAGAAAGAUCUGUGUGCACCUAUGUUCACUGCAUCACAGUUUGUAAUAACCCAAACGUGGAAGCAACUUAGGUGCCCAACAACAGAU